UGGUCUUCAGCCCCACGUCAUCGGAUCUCUCGCCUCGUCUCCCGCUGUUGUCAGAUCCGUCGUCUUUACCCCAUCUUCGCCCGCCUUGUCUUCGCCGCACGCCGUCAGAUCUCGCCGUCGGAUCCGCCGUUUGUUCCAUAAGGUCGAAUCGAAACUCUACUUUUAAUUUCAUUGUCAAUAUGUUAUAUGUGACUAUAAGAUUUUUGAUUAAGUUUUCUUUUUAAUUUCAUUGAAUAGAAAUCAUGUCUAAUCCUUCGAUUCAAGCGUCUAAUGAAGAACAAACUAUUGAGCUUAAUGUUGAACCUUCUGUUGAACCCGUGGUUGAGGAAUUUUCAAGUAAAAUUGAUGAAAAAACUGAAAAGAAAAGAUGUUAUUCUGAAGUGUAUAGUUAGAUUUUGAUAAAAUAGAUAAAAUAGAAAAGAAAAUAGUUGAUGGGAAAGAGGUUGUCACCAAAAUCAUUAGAGCCAAAUACUAACAUUGCUCAUUUGAAGCCUAUGGACGUAGUAUCAAGGGUAUUUCCCUUCUUAAAAAUCACAUUGCGAGAUGUACUAAAAAGAAAAGACCCGAUAUCCGUCAACAAUUGGUUUAAACUACUAUAAAAAAUAAAGAUGAGACGUGUGCACUUAGUAAUUAUCAAUUUGAAAAUGAGAAGAGUCAAAAUCUGCUUGCAAAGGCAAUAAUCGUGCACGAAUAUCCAUUUAACAUUGUAACACAUGAGUUUUUCCUCAAGUAUGUGCAUUCUUUCCGUCCAAAUCACAAGGUUCCAAAACGUACACAUAUCACAAAGUUGUGUAUAAAGAUUUAUGAAGAUUAUAAAAAAUCUAUAUUGGAUUUGCUUGAUAAAUCUUCUAUAAGAUUAAGUUUUAACAAUGGAUAAAUGAACAUCAUCGUCACAAAAUUUGUCUUAUUUGUGUGUCAUCGCUGAAUCGUGGAAACUACAAAAACGUAUUAUUGGAUUUAUUAAAGUUCAUAGUUCUAUGGGGAAAGACAUUUGCAAUGUAUUAAUUUCGUGUUUGCUUGAGUGGAAAAUUGAUUAUAAGAUAUUGUCGAUUACGGUGGAUAAUGAUAAAGCUAAUAAUGUUGCCGUGAAAUUGGGAAAAAACAUCUUAAAAAGUGGUUACUUUGUGGCGGAGUCUUUUUUCAUGUAAGAUGUGAAGCACAUAUAAUUAAUCUUAUUGUUCAAGAGGGUUUAAAAGUUAUCGCUAAAGCUAUUGAAAAAAUAAGACUUAGUGUUAAGUAUGUUACAUGUUCACCAAAAAUGGAGGAGAAUUUUUAUCAUGUUGCUAAACAAGCUAAUGUGGUAAAGGAAAAAUUUCUUGUUCUUGAUUGUUGCACCGAUGGAAUUCUACUUAUCUAAUGUUGACAAUUGCUUUAAAGUAUAAAGUUGCUUUUAAUAGAUUUGAGCUUAGAGAUGAUAAAUGUCUUCAUUGUCCAUUAGAGGAAGAAUGGAAUAAUAUUGAAACAUUGAGUAAAUGUUUAAAACAUUUUUAUCAUGCAACAAAUCUCCUCUCCGGUACUAUUUAUCUUGAUUGCAAUCUUUUGUUUGAAGAAUUUUUGUGAAAUUCAUUUGCUUCUUAUGGAGUGGUUAAAAAGUGAUGAUGAUACAAUUGUGGCUAUGACUUUUACAAUGAAAAGAAAAUUUGAUAACUAUUAGCACAUGUGCAAUAAGAUUUUUGCGGUUGCUAUUUUUCUUGAUCCAAGAUACAAAUCAUUGCAAUCAAAUAUUUCUUUGGUUUGAUUUAUGGUGUGGAUGGUGAAAAGUGUACAAAUGAUAUUUUAGUUGUCAUUAAGAAGAUGCAUGAAGAAUAUUACAUUUAGGGACAAAGAGGAAUCUAAAAAUGUCGAAAAUACUUCAAGCACUCAAACAAAAGAAGUAGAAAGAGUUGGUGAUAAAAGGAAAUCAAGUUUUGCACAAUUUGUUGAAACAAUUGAUAAAGAGCCUACAAAAAUAGAUUUAGAUUUAUAUAUGAAAGGCAUUAUUACCACAUGAGAUGAUGAAAAAUGGGAAAAUUUGAUAUAUUGAGUUAGUGGAAAGCAAAUUUUGGGAAGUAUCCUAUACUAGCAAAAGUUGCAAGAGAUGUUUUGGGCAUACCGGCCUUGACCGUAGUAUCCGAGUCCACGUUAUAGCACCUAGGGAUGUGUAAUUCAUUGUUAUAGAAGCCGAAUGACAACAGAUACGAUGGAGGCAUUGAUAUGCGCACAAGAUUGGAUUAAAGUGGUACAAGGAGUUACACAAGUUGAAACUAGUAAGGAUGAUGUUCUUGAUGUGGCUAAGAUAGUGGAUGACGAUGACUCGGAGAUUGCCGAGACAUUAGUAAAAGCACCAUUAGAUGACAUCAUGGAGGUCUACGACUCGGAUGAUGUGAUUUGAUAUUAUGCUUGCAUCCAUUGGUGUCAUAUUCUAGUUAACUUUUGCAUUGAUGUGUUAGCUUGAAACUCUAGAGAACUAAUUAUGUGGUUUUUAUUUGUUUGUGUUUGGUGUUUGUUUGAAGUAAUUCCGAUUAUGUGUGAAUUAAGUUAUUUUGAAAUGAUGAUAUUAUAUAUCUAAA